rnacentral:rRNA from 1 species
GGGGAAGCAGCAGUGGGGAAUAUUGCACAAUGGGCGAAAGCCUGAUGCAGCGACGCGGCGUGUGGAAUGACGGCCUUCGGGUUGUAAACCACUUUCAGCAGGGAAGAAGCUUUUUGUGACGGUACCUGCAGAAGAAGCGCCGGCUAACUACGUGCCAGCAGCCGCGGUAAUACGUAGGGCGCGAGCGUUAUCCGGAAUUAUUGGGCGUAAAGAGCUCGUAGGCGGUUUGUCGCGUCUGCUGUGAAAGCCCGGGGCUCAACCCCGGGUGUGCAGUGGGUACGGGCAGACUAGAGUGCAGUAGGGGAGACUGGAAUUCCUGGUGUAGCGGUGAAAUGCGCAGAUAUCAGGAGGAACACCGAUGGCGAAGGCAGGUCUCUGGGCUGUUACUGACGCUGAGGAGCGAAAGCAUGGGGAGCGAACAGGAUUAGAUACCCUGGUAGUCCAUGCCGUAAACGUUGGGCACUAGGUGUGGGGGACAUUCCACGUUCUCCGCGCCGUAGCUAACGCAUUAAGUGCCCCGCCUGGGGAGUACGGCCGCAAGGCUAAAACUCAAAGGAAUUGACGGGGGCCCGCACAAGCGGCGGAGCAUGCGGAUUAAUUCGAUGCAACGCGAAGAACCUUACCAAGGCUUGACAUACACCGGACCGCCCUAGAGAUAGGGUUUCCCUUCGGGGCUGGUGUACAGGUGGUGCAUGGUUGUCGUCAGCUCGUGUCGUGAGAUGUUGGGUUAA